rnacentral:rRNA from 1 species
GUGGGGAAUUUUUCGCAAUGGGGGCAACCCUGACGAAGCAACGCCGCGUGGAGGAUGAAGGCCUUCGGGUCGUAAACUCCUGUCGACCGGGACGAAAGCGCACCGACCCAAUACGUCGGUGUGUUGACGGUACCGGUGGAGGAAGCCACGGCUAACUCUGUGCCAGCAGCCGCGGUAAUACAGAGGUGGCAAGCGUUGUUCGGAAUUACUGGGCGUAAAGGGCGCGUAGGCGGCUUGGUAAGUUCUGUGUGAAAUCCCCCGGCUCAACUGGGGAACUGCACAGGAAACUGCCUAGCUAGAGUUCGGGAGAGGGAAGCGGAAUUCCGGGUGUAGCGGUGAAAUGCGUAGAUAUCCGGAGGAACACCGGUGGCGAAGGCGGCUUCCUGGACCGACACUGACGCUGAGGCGCGAAAGCUAGGGGAGCAAACGGGAUUAGAUACCCUGGUAGUCC